GCUUAUGGUCAUAUUGUCCUGGACACGCCUGAUCUUAGAAGCUAAGAAGGGUCGGGUGUGGUUUGUUCUUAGAUGCACUGAAAAAUAAUGCAACCGUUUUUG
rnacentral:rRNA from 1 species